rnacentral:lncRNA from 1 species
ACCAGGCACGCGGCUGCCUCAGCACCACCAGCCAUGCUUCUACCUCAGAACCUUUGCAUUUGCUGUUCCCUCUUCCUGGAACACUAUUCUAUGUCCACAUGGCUUUCUUCCUCAUUUCCUUCAGGGAUUUGCUCAAAUAUUCUGUUUUUAGUGAGGCUUCCCCUGAAUAUCUUUUAAAAAAUAAAAAUCACUCUCCCUCAGGCCUUCCUGAUCCUCUCUUCCAAUCUUAUUUUUCUUCAUUGAAAUUUUUUUUUUUGAGACAGAGUUUCUCUCUGUCGCCAAGGCUGGAGAGCAGUGGCACAAUCACAGCUCACUGCAGACUCAACCUUCUGGGCUCAAGUGAUCCUUCUCUCAACCUCCCAAGUAGCUGGGUCCACAGACACGUGCCAUCAUGCCCGGUUAUCUUUUAUUUUUAUUUUUUUGAAUAGACGAUGUAUCACCAUGUUGCCCAGGCUUCUCACAAACUCCCCCCGAGUGAUCCGCCCGCCUUGGCCUUCCAAAAUGCUGGGGUUACAUGUGUGAGCCACCGUGCCCGGCUCCUCCGUCCCUUACCCUUUCACAUGCUGUGUAGUUGUUUACCUGUUAUCUGUCUCCACUCACUAACUUACAAGCUCCAUAAGAGCAGGG